rnacentral:rRNA from 1 species
AUCUUUAGGGGGCCUGAGAGGGUGAUCCCCCACACUGGUACUGAGACACGGACCAGACUCCUACGGGAGGCAGCAGUGAGGAAUAUUGGACAAUGGGUGCGAGCCUGAUCCAGCCAUCCCGCGUGAAGGACGACGGCCCUAUGGGUUGUAAACUUCUUUUGUAUAGGGAUAAACCUAGAUACGUGUAUCUAGCUGAAGGUACUAUACGAAUAAGCACCGGCUAACUCCGUGCCAGCAGCCGCGGUAAUACGGAGGGUGCAAGCGUUAUCCGGAUUUAUUGGGUUUAAAGGGUCCGUAGGCGGAUCUGUAAGUCAGUGGUGAAAUCUCACAGCUUAACUGUGAAACUGCCAUUGAUACUGCAGGUCUUGAGUGUUAUUGAAGUAGCUGGAAUAAGUAGUGUAGCGGUGAAAUGCAUAGAUAUUACUUAGAACACCAAUUGCGAAGGCAGGUUACUAAGCAACAACUGACGCUGAUGGACGAAAGCGUGGGGAGCGAA